UACCAGCACCCCGAGUGGUCGGGACGUUUAUUGGGCCUAAAGCAUCCUAGCCGGUUCGUACAAGUCUUCCGUUAAAUCCACCUGCUUAACAGAUGGGCUGCGGAAGAUACUAUAGAGCUAGGAGGCGGGAGAGGCAAGCGGUACUCGAUGGGUAGGGGUAAAAUCCGUUGAUCCAUUGAAGACCACCAGUGGCGAAGGCGGCUUGCCAGAACGCGCUCGACGGUGAGGGAUGAAAGCUGGGGGAGCAAACCGG
rnacentral:rRNA from 1 species